GUGCCAGCCGCCGCGGUAAUACGGAGGGUGCAAGCGUUAUCCGGAUUCAUUGGGUUUAAAGGGUGCGCAGGCGGAUUAUUAAGUUAGUGGUGAAAUCCCGGGGCUCAACCUCGGAACUGCCAUUAAUACUGGUAAUCUGGAAUACGGUUGAAGUGGGCGGAAUGUAGCAUGUAGCGGUGAAAUGCAUAGAGAUGCUACAGAACACCGAUCGCGAAGGCAGCUCACUAAGCCGAUAUUGACGCUCAGGCACGAAAGCGUGGGGAGCGAACAGGAUUAGAUACCCUGGUAGUCCACGCCGUAAACGAUGAUAACUCGUUGUUGGCGACACACAGUCAGCGACUAAGCGAAAGCGAUAAGUUAUCCACCUGGGGAGUACGAUCGCAAGGUUGAAACUUAAAUGAAUUGACGG
rnacentral:rRNA from 1 species